rnacentral:rRNA from 1 species
CGGUAAUACAGAGACCUCAAGCGUUAUCCGGAAUUAUUGGGCGUAAAGCGUCCGCAGGCGGUUAGUUAAGUCGGGCAUUAAAUCCCAGAGCUCAACUUUGGGGCUGUGUUCGAAACUAGCUAACUAGAGGGGUGGAGAGGCACAUGGAAUUCCCGGUGUAGGGGUUACAUCCGUUAAUAUCGGGGAGAACACCAUUAGCGAAGGCAAUGUGCUGGACACCUCCUGACGCUCAGGGACGAAAGCAUGGGUAGCGAAUGGAAUUAGAUACUCCAGUAGUCCAUGCCCUAAACGCUGGAUACUAGACAUAAGAAGUUCGACCCUUCUUGUGUGCGAAGCUAACGCGUUAAGUAUCCCGCCUGGGAAGUACGGCCGCAAGGCUAAAACUCAAAGGAAUUGACGGGGACCCGCACAAGCGGUGGAGCAUAUGGUUUAAUUCGUAGCUAAGCGUAGAACCUCACCAGGGCUUGACAUCCUCGGAACCCUGCCGAAAGGCGGGGGUGCCGCAAGGAACCGGGUGACAGGUGCUGCAUGGCUGUCGUCAGCUCGUGUCGUGAGAUGUUGGGUUAAGUCCUCUAACGAGCGCAACCCUUAUUGUAUGUUGAUUUUCACAUGCAAGACUGCCCCGGUAUAACGGGGAGGAAGGUGGGGAUGACGUCAAGUCAGCAUGGCCCUUACGUCCUGGGCGACACGUAUGCUACAAUGGGGAGUACAAAGGGACGCCAAGUCGCAAGACGGAGCUAAUCUCAUACAAAACUUCUCUCAGUUCGGAUUGAAGGCUGCAACUCGCCUUCAUGAAGCUGGAAUCGCUAGUAACCGUGGGUCAGCCACACCACGGUGAAUACGUUCUCGGG